rnacentral:lncRNA from 1 species
GUUGUUCCACUUGUGGUGGUUGCUCAAUAAGAUCUUCUAAAGCAUUUUCAAUAGGACAUGGAGCUUGAAUAAUUGGUUCCUCAAUGUCCAUCCCAUUUGGAUGAACAAGCAAUGUGUUACUUAAUGCAGGAGUAGUAUUAAGAACAUGAUUUUCCUCAAAAACUAAGGUUUUAAGUUGAUCACUCUCACUAACCACGUCUAUUUCAAGAAAGUUAGCAUUUCUUGAUUCAACAAAUCUACUUGUAUGAUUUGGACAAUAAAACUUGUAACCCUUGGGCUUUUCAACAUAUCCAAUAAAAUAUCCACUCAUAGUCCUUGGGUCUAACUUUUUUUCUUGUGGAUUGUAAACCCUAACUUUAGCUGGACAACUCCAAAUGAGUACAUGUCUUAAACUCGGUUU